rnacentral:rRNA from 1 species
UACGGAGGGUGCAAGCGUUGUCCGGAUUUAUUGGGUUUAAAGGGUGCGUAGGUGGUUUUUUAAGUCUGGUUUGAAAGCUGGUCGCUUAACGAUCAGAUGUGGCUGGAAACUGAGGAACUUGAAUGAUUUGGCGGUAGCCGGAAUGGGUCAUGUAGCGGUGAAAUGCAUAGAUAUGACCCGGAACACCGAUUGCGAAGGCA